rnacentral:rRNA from 1 species
UUUUAUUUGAGAGUUUGAUCCUGGCUCAGGAUGAACGCUGGCGGCGUGCCUAACACAUGCAAGUUGAGCGAUUUACUUCGGUAAAGAGCGGCGGACGGGUGAGUAACGCGUGGGUAACCUACCCUGUACACACGGAUAACAUACCGAAAGGUAUGCUAAUACGGGAUAAUAUAUUUGAGAGGCAUCUCUUGAAUAUCAAAGGUGAGCCAGUACAGGAUGGACCCGCGUCUGAUUAGCUAGUUGGUAAGGUAACGGCUUACCAAGGCGACGAUCAGUAGCCGACCUGAGAGGGUGAUCGGCCACAUUGGAACUGAGACACGGUCCAAACUCCUACGGGAGGCAGCAGUGGGGAAUAUUGC